AUUGAACGCUGGCGGCAGGCCUAACACAUGCAAGUCGAACGAGUGGCGGACGGGUGAGUAAUGUCUGGGAAACUGCCCGAUGGAGGGGUAUAACUACUGGAAACUGUCUCUAAUACCGCAUACCAUCGGAUGUGCCCAGAUGGGAUUAGCUAGUAGGUGGGGUAACGGCACACCGAGGCGAAUAUCCCUAGCUGGUAUGAGAGGAAGACCAGCCACACUGGAACGGAGACACGGUACAGACUCCUACGGGAGGCAGCAGGGGGGAAUAUUGCACAAGGGGCGCAAGCCUGAUGCAGCCAUGGCGCGUGUAUGAAGAAGGCCUUCGGGUGGUAAAGUACUUUCAGCGAGGAGGCGUUACUCGCAGAAGAAGCACCGGCUAACUCCGUGCCAGCAGCCGCGGUAAUAC
rnacentral:rRNA from 1 species